rnacentral:lncRNA from 1 species
UAAAAGUGGUAGUGACUCGGCAUGAAGAGUGAGUCGCACCAGGGUUCGAGCAAAAGAUUGGUACCCCGAGAGAAGUUUAUAAACUUCUCCCUUCUCGAUGAUGACGUGAGAUCGUCUCGCGGGCACACGAGAAUAUGACUUAGAGGAGUUCUGAUCAAACAUCCUCUGCUGUCCCCAGAAUCUUCCCUGAAGCGAAGGUCUGUGGUCGGGUUUGUGCUAAACCAGAGAAUCAUGCUCUCUGUCGGUUAGCGAUAUGAGGUAAUCUAAAUUACCUCUUUUUUUUUUUUGCUUUUUCUUUUUAGUUUAGAAUUGAGUUUUAAAUAUGUUCUGCUAAAUAUGCAAAGCCCUUAAGUCGGUUCUGGUUCGUUGUCCAUUUCCGAUGUUUUUUGGGAUUUUGUUUGUUCGUUCUAAAACGUUCGUAGAGAAGAGUUACAGAGAUUUGAAGUCUCUAGUCUAAACCCUCUAAACUGCACAUAAUGAUCCGCAAGUUUGAAAGAUAAAGGUGUUUUUCUUUUGCUCCGUUCUAAGAAGAAUUACAGGACCAUAAGUAUAUUUUUAACAUUUUCAUCAUAUAAAUAUAUACUCUUUAAUUCGAUUGCUUUGAAAUGAGCUCAUAUAAAUUUUUUUUAAAAAAAACACACAAAAGAGUAGGAACAAAUCAUGCAUUGAAGAAGGGACGAUCUUUAGCAGCUUCAGUGAGAGCAAAGAACUUCCUAAAG